rnacentral:rRNA from 1 species
AUUGAACGCUGGCGGCAUGCUUUACACAUGCAAGUCGAACGGCAGCGCGGGCUUCGGCCUGGCGGCGAGUGGCGAACGGGUGAGUAAUACAUCGGAACGUGCCCAGUAGUGGGGGAUAGCUCGGCGAAAGCCGGAUUAAUACCGCAUACGACCUGAGGGUGAAAGCGGGGGAUCUUCGGACCUCGCGCUAUUGGAGCGGCCGAUGGCAGAUUAGCUAGUUGGUGGGGUAAAGGCCUACCAAGGCGACGAUCUGUAGCUGGUCUGAGAGGACGACCAGCCACACUGGGACUGAGACACGGCCCAGACUCCUACGGGAGGCAGCAGUGGGGAAUUUUGGACAAUGGGCGAAAGCCUGAUACAGCAAUGCCGCGUGUGUGAUGAAGGCCUUCGGGUUGUAAAGCACUUUUGGCGGGAACGAAAAGGACUGUGCCAAUACCACGGUUCGAUGACGGUACCCGCAGAAUAAGCACCGGCUAACUACGUG